UCUCUCUCUCUCUCUCUCUCUCUCUCUCUCUCUCUCACACACACACACACACAGAGAGAGAGAGAGAGAGAGAGAGAGAGGGAGGGGGA